CGCUAUUGGCCAGUCGCGUCGGGCUCGAUCUGAGAGACUCAAUUGGUCAGGUAAAUAGCUGCAAGUUGGCAGGAAGAGCUAGAGAGCGGAGAUACAUGAUGAUGUCAACACGGCUGUGAUCCUUUCGGUCUGGCAAACGCAAGAAGUGGUCGUUGUGUCGGGUCUGUCCUUUAAGGCGCAUUGCAGCGUUGCUCAAGGACUAGUGAUCAUCUGCAGCAUCCGGAGGAGUCCAGAUCCUACUGGCUGUUUGACCAGAGAUCAAGAGACAUGGAGAAUCUGAGCCACAUCUCUCCUUAUCUACACUUCUGAGCUGGGUUUGAGGCAGGAGGACCAUGCUCUGCUCAGAGCGUGGCGUGGUGGAG
rnacentral:lncRNA from 1 species